UGACGGACGGGUGAGUAACGCGUGGGAAUCUGCCUCUUACUGGGGGAUAACAGUGGGAAACUACUGCUAAUACCGCAUAAGAUCUUCGGAUGAAAGGUGCAACUGCACCGGUAAGAGAUGAGCCCGCGUCCCAUUAGCUAGUUGGUGAGGUAAAGGCUCACCAAGGCGACGAUGGGUAGCCGGCCUGAGAGGGUGAACGGCCACACUGGGACUGAGACACGGCCCAGACUCCUACGGGAGGCAGCAGUAGGGAAUCUUCCGCAAUGGGCGCAAGCCUGACGGAGCGACGCCGCGUGAGUGAUGAAGGCCUUCGGGUCGUAAAGCUCUGUUCUUGAGGACGAAUAAGCCAGGGAGUGGAAAGCCCUGGUGAUGACUGUACUCAAGGAGAAAGCUCCGGCUAACUACGUGCCAGCAGCCGCGGUAAUACGUAGGGAGCUAGCGUUGUCCGGAAUUACUGGGUGUA
rnacentral:rRNA from 1 species